rnacentral:rRNA from 1 species
CCUACGGGUGAGCAGCAGUGGGGAAUAUUGGACAAUGGGCGAAAGCCUGAUCCAGCCAUGCCGCGUGUGUGAAGAAGGCCUUCGGGUUGUAAAGCACUUUCAGUGGGGAAGAAAGCCUUGGGGCUAAUACCCUCGAGGAAGGACAUCACCCACAGAAGAAGCACCGGCUAACUCCGUGCCAGCAGCCGCGGUAAUACGGAGGGUGCGAGCGUUAAUCGGAAUUACUGGGCGUAAAGCGCGCGUAGGCGGUCUGAUAAGCCGGUUGUGAAAGCCCCGGGCUCAACCUGGGAACGGCAUCCGGAACUGUCAGGCUAGAGUGCAGGAGAGGAAGGUAGAAUUCCCGGUGUAGCGGUGAAAUGCGUAGAGAUCGGGAGGAAUACCAGUGGCGAAGGCGGCCUUCUGGACUGACACUGACGCUGAGGUGCGAAAGCGUGGGUAGCAAACAGGAUUAGAUACCCGUGUAGUC